CCCCUCUCAGGGUCUUAUCUGGAGAGUUUCCAGGACUCUACCAGUCUAGGCUACGGGAGGCAGAGUAAAGCAGAGGCAUUCCCAUUCCUAGCUUGGCCAGUGGUUAGCGAGUGGAAGGCAAUCUGCUACAAGU
rfam:Ornithorhynchus anatinus chromosome 1, whole genome shotgun sequence.